rnacentral:lncRNA from 1 species
GGGGAAGGCUCAGAAGCUCCAGGGUUUCAUUGACACAGCCUGGAGACCCAGCUCUGUCACUCAACUCUACAUAGCCUUCACCCAGAGCCUGACAGUGUAUAUGAACAAGAGGCUGUGCCUAAUGAGUGCUUCUGCCACCUUCUCCAGGAUGACAGCCAUGGACUCCUGCCAUAUCCAACACCCCCUUGCUGCUCCCCACCGCCCUCCUUGGCACCCAGGUGGCUGAUCUCCUAUGGUCUUGCUGGCUUCUCUACCUUGUAUGCAGAGGGCAGGCCCAGUCUGCCCCAGCACAGGGUCUGCACAUAGUAGGGGCUUGCAUGUUGCCUGCUAAACUGACAGCCCUGUAACCAUGUCAGCACAAAGCAACCAGCAACCAGCAUUUUGGGUGUAUCUGCAGUUAAAAUAAACCACUGAGGUCA